UUGAGUUUUCGAUUACAAGAUAACUGCUUAUUUAUACUUGAUAAGAGGAACCCUAGUGACCUAGACACAUAUCAUCAUCCAGUGCUAGUAAGGUCAUCAAGGGCGAGAAAGGAUUGGACAGCUUGAUUUGAAAUGCUGGCUUUAUUAUACCAUUAGCUGUCGCUGCUCUGGAUGGUACGGUCCUUUUGCCAGCAUUAUCAAACGACCGUUGUAUCUCAUGCUGACUGGAUGAAGACAGAUUUUUGUUGGGCUUUGUCUUGGGCUGAUGGGCCUGAGCAUCAUCCUCUGGGUACAUUUUGGCCUUACUUUUUUUGUUCUUUGGUUAAGGAAAUCCGAGUCUAAUGCUUACUGCAGUCCUCUGUUUCACUUGGCAGCGUAGAUGCUUGUUGAGCUGUAAUAACCCCUCUCAAACUUGGUGUAGUGGCGAAUACGGUUGGUUGUUUCUGCGAAGCCCACGAGAUGAUGUUGGAGCCAAGGAACAUGCAGAAUAUCAUCAUACGGUGCUAGUGAGGCCAUCAAGGACUGAGAGAGGAUUGGACAACUUGAUUUGAAACGUUGGCUUUAUUGUACCAUUAGCUGACAAGUUUGACAUGAAGAUGUAAACUAACCUCCUAAAGUAGUUGUAUGGAGAGUAAAACAGUAGACUUCAGAACCAAAUGAGAACUCUUGGCCUAUACUUGGAGAUCUAUCAUGACUCACUCAGAGGUUUUUCUUGAACUUGGAGAGUUUAAUAUAGUCUCUCAUAGAUAUUUUCAACCAUUGUUCUUUACAAAGCUUUUGGCUGUCCUGCACCAUCACUUAGCAAACAAAGACAUGUCCACAACUACUGAGAUUCUUCAACUCUAACCUUCCCUUUUAUUUAUCAGCCACAUCUUUAAUAUUUCCCGAGCAUCUCAACAAACUUGCAGCCAAAACAUCUCAUGACACCAAUUACCUAUAUCUCUUAGGCAGCCAACAGAACCAUCAAACAAAGAAAUUUUCACAUUAGAAGCUUUUUCUCAUUCCAUGAUAUUUAAACAAUCCAAAAAUCAUCUAAACUAGCCAUAUGACACGUCAUAUCUCCAAAAAAGUGGGAAACGUUACCGUCGUUUGUAGCACCAACUCCACAAGCUCUGCAGUUUUGGAGCUGUCACUUGAUUAAAGCUUCAACCUUUAACUCACUUCUAACUUGAUGUAAUAAAACUCACAUAUAAGACGUGUCUAGGACUUUGACGUCAUUAGAUUCGUCAUUGGAGGACUCAGACUCUUCUUCUUCAUCAUUAGGCUCUCGAACUUGUUCCUUGCUUUUGUGCCAUCCGACAUAAAGAGAAAGGAGACAACUUGGCAAGCCUGCUUCUUCAAAUAAAGUGCAAGUCUGGUAUUUGUCAGGAUAGUGUUGAUAGGAUCUGUGUUGGUCGCAUGUUCUUCUUUCUCUUUACAGGAACAUGACUGAUGGAGAUUGUGAGAAGUUGAG
rnacentral:lncRNA from 1 species